rnacentral:rRNA from 1 species
UAGGGAAUCUUAGACAAUGGGGGAAACCCUGAUCUAGCCAUGCCGCGUGUGUGAUGAAGGCCUUAGGGUCGUAAAGCACUUUCGCCAGAGAUGAUAAUGACAGUAUCUGGUAAAGAAACCCCGGCUAACUCCGUGCCAGCAGCCGCGGUAAUACGGAGGGGGUUAGCGUUGUUCGGAAUUACUGGGCGUAAAGCGCACGUAGGCGGAUUAGUAAGUUAGAGGUGAAAUCCCAGGGCUCAACCCUGGAACUGCCUUUAAUACUGCUAGUCUUGAGUUCGAGAGAGGUAAGUGGAAUUCCAAGUGUAGAGGUGAAAUUCGUAGAUAUUUGGAGGAACACCAGUGGCGAAGGCGGCUUACUGGCUCGAUACUGACGCUGAGGUGCGAAAGUGUGGGGAGCAAACAGGAUUAGAUACCCUGGUAGUCCACACCGUAAACGAUGAAUGCCAGACGUCAGCAAGUAUACUUGUUGGUGUCACACCUAACGGAUUAAGCAUUCCGCCUGGGGAGUACGGUCGCAAGAUUA